UACGUAUGGUGCAAGCGUUAUCCGGAUUUACUGGGCGUAAAGGGAGCGCAGGCGGUCUUUUAAGUCUGAUGUGAAAGCCUUCGGCUUAACCGGAGUAGUGCAUUGGAAACUGGGAGACUUGAGUGCAGAAGAGGAGAGUGGAACUCCAUGUGUAGCGGUGAAAUGCGUAGAUAUAUGGAAGGACACCAGUGGCGAAAGCGGCUCUCUGGUCUGUAACUGACGCUGAGGUUCGAAAGCGUGGGUAGCAAACAGG
rnacentral:rRNA from 1 species